AGAGUUUGAUCCUGGCUCAGAGCGAACGCUGGCGGCAGGCCUAACACAUGCAAGUCGAACGAAGUCUUCGGACUUAGUGGCGGACGGGUGAGUAACACGUGGGAACGUACCUUUUGGUUCGGAACAACUCAGGGAAACUUGAGCUAAUACCGGAUAAGCCCUUUGGGGGAAAGAUUUAUCGCCAUUAGAGCGGCCCGCGUUAGAUUAGCUAGUUGGUGAGGUAAAGGCUCACCAAGGCUACGAUCUAUAGCUGGUCUGAGAGGAUGAUCAGCCACACUGGGACUGAGACACGGCCCAGACUCCUACGGGAGGCAGCAGUGGGGAAUCUUGCGCAAUGGGCGAAAGCCUGACGCAGCCAUGCCGCGUGAAUGAUGAAGGUCUUAGGAUUGUAAAAUUCUUUUACCAGGGACGAUAAUGACGGUACCUGGAGAAAAAGCCCCGGCUAACUUCGUG
rnacentral:rRNA from 1 species